rnacentral:rRNA from 1 species
GGAUUAGAUACCCUGGUAGUCCACGCUGUAAACGAUGGUCACUAGAUGUUCGGCCUUUUAGGCUGAGUGUCCAAGCGAAAGCGAUAAGUGACCCACCUGGGGAGUACGUUCGCAAGAAUGAAACUCAAAGGAAUUGACGGGGGCCCGCACAAGCGGUGGAGCAUGUGGUUUAAUUCGAUGAUACGCGAGGAACCUUACCUGGGCUACAAUGCCUUUGCUACCCCCGGAAACGGGGUUUUCCUUCGGGACAAAGUGCAAGGUGCUGCAUGGUUGUCGUCAGCUCGUGCCG